GAUGAACGCUGGCGGCGUGCCUAAUACAUGCAAGUCGAGCGAACAGAUGAGGAGCUUGCUCCUCUGACGUUAGCGGCGGACGGGUGAGUAACACGUGGAUAACCUACCUAUAAGACUGGGAUAACUUCGGGAAACCGGAGCUAAUACCGGAUAAUCUAUUGAACCGCAUGGUUCAAUAGUGAAAGACGGUUUUGCUGUCACUUAUAGAUGGAUCCGCGCCGCAUUAGCUAGUUGGUAAGGUAACGGCUUACCAAGGCAACGAUGCGUAGCCGACCUGAGAGGGUGAUCGGCCACACUGGAACUGAGACACGGUCCAGACUCCUACGGGAGGCAGCAGUAGGGUAUCUUCCGCAAUGGGCGAAAGCCUUACGGAGCAACGCCGCGUGAGUGAUGAAGGUCUUCGGAUCGUAAAACUCUGUUAUUAGGGAAGAACAAAUGUGUAAGUAACUAUGCACGUCUUGACGGUACCUAAUCAGAAAGCCACGGCUAACUACGUG
rnacentral:rRNA from 1 species